CCGACUGCUAUCGGGGUGAGGCUAAGCCAUGGGAGUCGCGCGCCCCGCCGCCGCGGGGCGCGGCGCACGGCUGAGUAACACGUGGCUAACCUGCCCUCGGGACGGGGACAACCCCGGGAAACUGGGGCUAAUCCUCGAUAGGCGAGGGGGCCUGGAAGGGUCCCUCGCCGAAAGGGACCUCAGGGGGUUAUCGCCUGGGGUCCGCCCGAGGAUGGGGCCACGGCCCAUCAUGGUAGUUGGCGGGGUAAUGGCCCGCCAAGCCGACGACGGGUAGGGGCCGUGGGAGCGGGAGCCCCCAGAUGGGCCCUGAGACAAGGGCCCAGGCCCUACGGGGCGCACCAGGCGCGAAACCUCCGCAAUGCGGGAAACCGUGACUGGGUCACCCCGAGUGCCCCCGUAAGGGGGCUUUUCCCCGCUGCAAGGAGGCGGGGGAAUAAGCGGGGGGCAAGUCUGGUGUCAGCCGCCGCGGUAAUACCAGCCCCGCGAGUGGUCGGGACUCUUGCUGGGCCUAAAGCGCCCGUAGCCGGCCCGGUAAGUCCCUCCCUAAAGCCCCGGGCUCAACCCGGGGAGCGGGGGGAUACUGCCGGGCUAGGGGGCGGGAGAGGCCGGGGGUACCCCAGGGGUAGGGGCGAAAUCCGAUAAUCCCUGGGGGACCACCAGUGGCGAAGGCGCCCGGCUGGAACGCGCCCGACGGUGAGGGGCGAAAGCCGGGGGAGCGAACCGGAUUAGAUACCCGGGUAGUCCCGGCUGUAAACUAUGCGGGCCAAGGUGUCGGG
rnacentral:rRNA from 1 species